rnacentral:rRNA from 1 species
GACGUAGGGGACGAGCGUUGUCCGGAUUCAUUGGGCGUAAAGCGCGCGUAGGCGGCUGGGAAAGUCGGAUGUGAAAAUCCGGGGCUCAACCCCGGACCUGCAUCCGAUACUUCCUGGCUAGAGGUAGGUAGGGGAGAUCGGAAUUCCUGGUGUAGCGGUGAAAUGCGCAGAUAUCAGGAGGAACACCGGUGGCGAAGGCGGAUCUCUGGGCCUUACCUGACGCUGAGGCGCGAAAGCUAGGGGAGCGAACAGG